AAGGACGUUACUAACGACGAUAUGCUUUGGGGAGCUGUAAGUAAGCUUUGAUCCAGAGAUUUCCGAAUGGGGAAACCCAGCAUGAGUUAUGUCAUGUUAUCGAUAUGUGAAUACAUAGCAUAUCAGAAGGCACACCCGGAGAACUGAAACAUCUUAGUACCCGGAGGAAGAGAAAGAAAAUUCGAUUCCCUUAGUAGCGGCGAGCGAAACGGGAAGAGCCCAAACCAACAAGCUUGCUUGUUGGGGUUGUAGGACACUCUAUACGGAGUUACAAAGGACGACAUUAGACGAAUCAUCUGGAAAGAUGAAUCAAAGAAGGUAAUAAUCCUGUAGUCGAAAAUGUUGUCUCUCUUGAGUGGAUCCUGAGUACGACGGAGCACGUGAAAUUCCGUCGGAAUCUGGGAGGACCAUCUCCUAAGGCUAAAUACUCUCUAGUGACCGAUAGUGAACCAGUACCGUGAGGGAAAGGUGAAAAGCACCCCGGAAGGGGAGUGAAAUAGAACCUGAAACCGUGUGCUUACAAGUAGUCAGAGCCCGUUAAUGGGUGAUGGCGUGCCUUUUGUAGAAUGAACCGGCGAGUUACGAUUUGAUGCAAGGUUAAGCAGUAAAUGUGGAGCCGUAGCGAAAGCGAGUCUGAAUAGGGCGUUUAGUAUUUGGUCGUAGACCCGAAACCAGGUGAUCUACCCUUGGUCAGGUUGAAGUUCAGGUAACACUGAAUGGAGGACCGAACCGACUUACGUUGAAAAGUGAGCGGAUGAACUGAGGGUAGCGGAGAAAUUCCAAUCGAACCUGGAGAUAGCUGGUUCUCUCCGAAAUAGCUUUAGGGCUAGCCUCAAGUGAUGAUUAUUGGAGGUAGAGCACUGUUUGGACGAGGGGCCCCUCUCGGGUUACCGAAUUCAGACAAACUCCGAAUGCCAAUUAAUUUAACUUGGGAGUCAGAACAUGGGUGAUAAGGUCCGUGUUCGAAAGGGAAACAGCCCAGACCACCAGCUAAGGUCCCAAAAUAUAUGUUAAGUGGAAAAGGAUGUGGCGUUGCCCAGACAACUAGGAUGUUGGCUUAGAAGCAGCCAUCAUUUAAAGAGUGCGUAAUAGCUCACUAGUCGAGUGACACUGCGCCGAAAAUGUACCGGGGCUAAACAUAUUACCGAAGCUGUGGAUUGUCCUUUGGACAAUGGUAGGAGAGCGUUCUAAGGGCGUUGAAGCAUGAUCGUAAGGACAUGUGGAGCGCUUAGAAGUGAGAAUGCCGGUGUGAGUAGCGAAAGACGGGUGAGAAUCCCGUCCACCGAUUGACUAAGGUUUCCAGAGGAAGGCUCGUCCGCUCUGGGUUAGUCGGGUCCUAAGCUGAGGCCGACAGGCGUAGGCGAUGGAUAACAGGUUGAUAUUCCUGUACCACCUAUAAUCGUUUUAAUCGAUGGGGGGACGCAGUAGGAUAGGCGAAGCGUGCGAUUGGAUUGCACGUCUAAGCAGUAAGGCUGAGUAUUAGGCAAAUCCGGUACUCGUUAAGGCUGAGCUGUGAUGGGGAGAAGACAUUGAGUCUUCGAGUCGUUGAUUUCACACUGCCGAGAAAAGCCUCUAGAUAGAAAAUAGGUGCCCGUACCGCAAACCGACACAGGUAGUCAAGAUGAGAAUUCUAAGGUGAGCGAGCGAACUCUCGUUAAGGAACUCGGCAAAAUGACCCCGUAACUUCGGGAGAAGGGGUGCUCUUUAGGGUUAACGCCCAGAAGAGCCGCAGUGAAUAGGCCCAAGCGACUGUUUAUCAAAAACACAGGUCUCUGCUAAACCGUAAGGUGAUGUAUAGGGGCUGACGCCUGCCCGGUGCUGGAAGGUUAAGAGGAGUGGUUAGCUUCUGCGAAGCUACGAAUCGAAGCCCCAGUAAACGGCGGCCGUAACUAUAACGGUCCUAAGGUAGCGAAAUUCCUUGUCGGGUAAGUUCCGACCCGCACGAAAGGCGUAACGAUUUGGGCACUGUCUCAACGAGAGACUCGGUGAAAUCAUAGUACCUGUGAAGAUGCAGGUUACCCGCGACAGGACGGAAAGACCCCGUGGAGCUUUACUGUAGCCUGAUAUUGAAAUUCGGCACAGCUUGUACAGGAUAGGUAGGAGCCUUUGAAACGUGAGCGCUAGCUUACGUGGAGGCGCUGGUGGGAUACUACCCUAGCUGUGUUGGCUUUCUAACCCGCACCACUUAUCGUGGUGGGAGACAGUGUCA
rnacentral:rRNA from 1 species